GGGAAAGCCGCCCUAGUUUAAGGGGUUCCGGGCCGUCGCUCAGGCCUGGCAGAGCCCAGGCAGCCCGUCAGCACGCGCACAGCGGACUCUGCCGACGAAGCACAAUUGGGAGUGUUUCACAAAGGGCGGGAGAAAUGGGGGACAGCUAGUGCUCCCAGGUUUCCUCGUGGUCCGCGGGGAAAAGCCCGGCGUCCGGGUGCUGCGGGGGGACGAAGGGACGCUGGAAGAGCCAGAGAUUAAUUUCUGCCUCUAUAGAAGUUUUGUGUACAAGUCAUGCUGCCCUUAG
rnacentral:lncRNA from 1 species